rnacentral:lncRNA from 1 species
GCAAUCGAUCCUCCCGCUCCAGCCUCCCAAGUAGCUGGGACCACAGGUGGAACUCAUCCAAUCAGCUGAAGGUCUUAAUAGAAAAAAGACUGACCUCCCUUGAGUAAGAAGAAAUUCUACCACAAGACUGCCUCAAGACUCAAACUGCAGCUCUUCCCUCAAGAUGAAGACUCAAAGUGCAGUCUCCAACAUGGGGCCUACCCCAUCAGACUUUCAACUCUCCAAGCCUCCAUCGUGUGAG